AGGAUGAACGCUAGCUACAGGCUAACACAUGCAAGUCGAGGGGCAUCAUGGAGUUGCUUGCAAACUCUGAUGGCGACCGGCGCACGGGUGAGUAACGCGUAUCCAACCUCCCUAUAGUAGAGGAUAGCCCGGCGAAAGUCGGAUUAAUACUCUAUGUUUUCCGUUGCAGACAUCUAAGAUGGAACAAAGGCUUGCCGCUAUAGGAUGGGGAUGCGUCUGAUUAGGUAGUCGGCGGGGUAACGGCCCACCGAGCCAUCGAUCAGUAGGGGUUCUGAGAGGAAGGUCCCCCACAUUGGAACUGAGACACGGUCCAAACUCCUACGGGAGGCAGCAGUGAGGAAUAUUGGUCAAUGGGCGAGAGCCUGAACCAGCCAAGUAGCGUGCAGGAUGACGGCCCUAUGGGUUGUAAACUGCUUUUAUGCGGGGAUAAAGUUCGCUACGUGUAGUGUUUUGUAGGUACCGCAUGAAUAAGGACCGGCUAAUUCCGUGCCAGCAGCUGC
rnacentral:rRNA from 1 species